rnacentral:rRNA from 1 species
CUACGGGUUGCUGCAGUGAGGAAUUUUGCGCAAUGGGGGCAACCCUGACGCAGCAACGCCGCGUGAGUGAAGAAGGCCUUUGGGUCGUAAAGCUCUGUCGACAGGGAAGAAGUUAUUGUUGUUUAACAGAUGACAGUAUUGACGGUACCUGUAGAGGAAGCACCGGCUAACUCCGUGCCAGCAGCCGCGGUAAUACGGGGGGUGCAAGCGUUAUUCGGAAUUAUUGGGCGUAAAGGGCGCGUAGGCGGUCUUGUCGGUCAGAGGUGAAAGCCCAGGGCUCAACCCUGGACGUGCAGUUGAAACAGCAAGACUUGAGUACGGGAGAGGAAAGCGGAAUUCCUGGUGUAGAGGUGAAAUUCGUAGAUAUCAGGAGGAACACCGAUGGCGAAGGCAGCUUUCUGGACCGAUACUGACGCUGAGGCGCGAAGGUGUGGGUAGCGAACGGGAUUAGAUACCCUGGUAGUC